rnacentral:rRNA from 1 species
UACGUAGGAUGCAAGCGUUGUCCGGAAUUAUUGGGCGUAAAGAGCGCGCAGGCGGUUUGAGAAGUCAGAUGUGAAAGAGGCCGGCUUAACCGGCAAGGGUCAUUUGAAACUGACAGACUAGAGUACAGCAGAGGAUAGCGGAAUUCCCGGUGUAGUGGUGAAAUGCGUAGAUAUCGGGAGGAACACCGGUGGCGAAGGCGGCCUGCUGGGCAGUUGCUGACACUGAGGCGCGACAGCGUGGGGAGCAAACAGG